rnacentral:rRNA from 1 species
GAUGAACGCUGGCGGCGUGCCUAAUACAUGCAAGUCGAGCGAACGGACGAGAAGCUUGCUUCUCUGAUGUUAGCGGCGGACGGGUGAGUAACACGUGGAUAACCUACCUAUAAGACUGGGAUAACUUCGGGAAACCGGAGCUAAUACCGGAUAAUAUUAUGAACCGCAUGGUUCAAUAGUGAAAGACGGUCUUGCUGUCACUUAUAGAUGGAUCCGCGCUGCAUUAGCUAGUUGGUAAGGUAACGGCUUACCAAGGCAACGAUGCAUAGCCGACCUGAGAGGGUGAUCGGCCACACUGGAACUGAGACACGGUCAAGACUACUACGGGAGGCAGCAGUAGGGAAUCUUCCGCAAUGGGCGAAAGCCUGACGGAGCAACGCCGCGUGAGUGAUGAAGGUCUUCGGAUCGUAAAACUCUGUUAUUAGGGAAGAACAUAUGUGUAAGUAACUGUGCACAUCUUGACGGUACCUAAUCAGAAAGCCACGGCUAACUACGUG